UGUGGUCAUUCAUCCGCUUGCGAGUCUCUGCGCCGUUAAACCCUCCAUCAAAGGUUGACCUCGGAUCGGGUAGGGAUACCCGCUGAACUUAAGCAUAUCAAUAAGCGGAGGAAAAGAAACCAACAGGGAUUGCCUCAGUAACGGCGAGUGAAGCGGCAACAGCUCAAAUUUGAAAUCUGGCGCAAGCCCGAGUUGUAAUUUGUAGAGGAUGCUUCUGGGUCGCGGCCGGUCUAAGUUCCUUGGAACAGGACGUCACAGAGGGUGAGAAUCCCGUAUGUGAUCGGCUUGCACCCUCCACGUAGCUCCUUCGACGAGUCGAGUUGUUUGGGAAUGCAGCUCUAAAUGGGAGGUAAAUGUCUUCUAAAGCUAAAUACCGGCCAGAGACCGAUAGCGCACAAGUAGAGUGAUCGAAAGAUGAAAAGCACUUUGGAAAGAGAGUUAAAAAGCACGUGAAAUUGUUGAAAGGGAAGCGCAUGCAACCAGACUUGUCGGAGGUGUUCCGCCGGUCUUCUGACCGGUCUACUCGCCGCCGACAGGCCAGCAUCGUCUGGGCGCGCCGGAGAAAGGCGCCGGGAAUGUAGCUCCUCGGAGUGUUAUAGCCCGGCGCACAAUACGGCGCCGCCCGGGCGAGGUCCGCGCU
rnacentral:rRNA from 1 species